UGGAUCUGCGCAAAAAGAAUGACCAAAGACCGCAGUGCCUAUCGUCUCCACAAGGUGGCAAUCUCGGUAAUAUAUGCAGUGGAAUGCAUGCAAGAAGUCUCUAUGACUCCCCCCAGACAGGAAGUGAUGUCAGGUACAGACAGGAAGUGAUGUCAGGUACAGACAGGAAGUGAGGUUAGCUAUAAAUAAGAAGUUCCAGGUCAGAAGUAGGUUGGAAGGAAGUAGAGAGGAGACGUUGCUGGGACAGAUGAGGAGUUUAUGACCAUCUAUGAAGAGGAGAAUCCAGUACAGAUCACAUGACCACCUCAAUGAGGAUGGAGGAGAACCAAAGUCACAGCAUGGAGAAGAUACUAAACUUCACCCUGGAGAUCAUCUACCUGCUGACCGGAGAGAGAUUUCCUCUUGUGAAGUCAGGAGAUCACAUGACCAUC